UGUCCCUGACCUAGCUAGAGUUGCACUGGUUUGGUGGGGCUUGUCUCAUUAUAAGCCAGGGACAAAGUAACUCCUUGUUUAUACCCCCUUGGCUUUUUGUUUUGUGCCCAUGUCUGGUGCAUGCCCUGAACACAUGG